GCAAGGUAUAUCAGAGUUUUGUAUUUUGCAGCAUUUUCUGCUCCGGCGAGGUCCGAGUAGUACUUCUUGAAGAAUUCAUAGAAUCCAAACUUGCAUGCACCCUGAGCACUGUAACCUAACAGGGUAGGAACCCAUCCCCUGAAGAAUCCCCUGGGACCUUGCUCCUUAAGAAGGACGCCGAAUCCAGACGAUAUGCUCUUGUAUUUCGCAGGGUCAAUCUGCAUGUUACAUUUGACGAGAUCGAGUGGAGUGACAGCCAUGUGAGUGAGACCACAACUGAGGAUACCACCGAAGGUACAGGCAGCGUAAAACUGCGGGGAGUACAUCUCGAUCUUGCCAGGUUCAUUAGGUGCCGGAAUAAUGAGGUUGUUGUUGGGAACACUGGUGGUUUCUGGAACAGCAAGGGUUUUGGGAGUUAAAGAAGAAAAAGAAGAUGUUGGGGAGUAGAGAAAGCUUGGAAGAAGAGACUGACGGCGGGAGUUCUCCAUUGACACAGAUUCAGAUUGAGAUCGGAGAUCGGAGAUCGGAG
rnacentral:misc_RNA from 1 species